UAAAGUUACAGUGAGACACUCAGCAUGGC
rnacentral:piRNA from 1 species